rnacentral:miRNA from 1 species
UGAGAAAAAGAAGAGGAAAA